rnacentral:lncRNA from 1 species
AGAGAACAUCUCUUAAAAUUGGUUGGCAGUUUUUAAACUGUAAGAUAUAUAAUUGGCAAGGACUGUAAUAUACUUUGUCGUUUCUGUGGAUAGUGUAAGGUAAAGAUGUUUAUUUGUUGCGAAUUUUUUUUCAUAAUAUUGAAUAGGAAUUAUAAAGAACGUGUAAUUUACAGCAAUUUGCAGCUUAGCAUAUAAUAUACUGCUCUGCCCACCUUAGAGAAAAUUGUUUGCUUAAACGUAAUUGACGUAUAGUUGAUUUAUAUCUGUGCGAUGAAAUGAUAGUGUUCAAAAUGUAUCUUUUUAUACAGUGAGAGAGGAAUGAGGAAUUAUCAAUAAUAAGAACAAUGCUAAGUCGUCGAACCCGCGUGUGAGAUAAUUCCUUAGGCACUCGUGGGUACAAUAGUUAAAUAAUAAUUAGAACCGUUUUUAGGGCCUGUUUACGAGAUUUUUGCUGCGGUUUUACAGGUGCGAUUUUCGUCUUCUGAUGCAUGUGAACGAGCGCAUGAGUCACGAACCUUCAGACCAGGGUACAUCAGUGGGACUUCUACUCAGAACAUUUAUAACUCGUCUACUCGUUCACAUGCGUCAGGAGAAGAAAAUCGCAGUACAAAUUGUAAGUGUAUAAAUGGGCCUUUACCGUGGGAAUUUUGGCCUGAGCCAAGCCAAAGCAAGGCCAGACGUACAGCUAUAAUGGACUAUUUGCAUUAUAGACUAAAUUUUGAUCUAAACAAGUCUAGACAAAAAUUUCAUCACAGCUUGAAAGAGCAUCACAAAAUUAGUAAUAUUCCAAAGUUUCGUUGCGAAAUGUUGUAAAAUGCGGAUAAUAUAGCCUUGCGAAAUUUGCAAUUUUCAGUCAUUUUGUAUUCCAAAUGGGAAAUUGAUGCCCCAACACCCGAUUGGGCUGUCAAUUUCCCGUGCGUAAUACAAAAUGACUGAAAAACGGCAAACUUCGCAAGGCUAUAUUAUAUCCGCAUUUUACAACAUUUCGCAACGAAACUUUGGAAUAUUACUAAUUUUGUGAUGCUCUUUCAAGCUGUGAUGAAAUUUUUGUCUAGAUCAAAAUUUAGUCUAUAAUGCAAAUGAUCCAUUGCGAUACGUUUAUACAUUGUUUAUACUUUGGCAUAUGGCAUGCCUGUCCGAGACAGCAAAAUGCUCGCAGUUUAAACACGGGUUAAGACGGAGUAUAAUUGAACUAACUUUAUAUAUAAUGACAGGGAUUAAUACAAUAGACUCCAUACUACCACAAGAAGAUUGAGUUAUAAAAGGAGAUCCCUACCUCACUUCCACCAAAAGCCCCCCCCCCCCCUCCGCCCGUAAAAUUCUUGAUUUUGUUUCCAUGAAAUACUAUUUCCCCCAUUCAGGCAGCACUUUUAAGCAAACAAGUCUAGUUCAUGUAAACGAGUUUAAAGGUGUGGUAAAAAAUAUACAGCGAGCAAGUACUUUCUUCCUUUUUACAGUUAAUUAUUCACAAUCGCCGUUUUUUUACUGUAUACCGGUGGCAGAAAAGUACUUGUAUUAAUUCCUGACUGGACGGCCCUGCCCUAUCAGUUCUAAGUAUGUAGAGGUCCUAUAUUGGUCCAGUGUAAAGCGAUGAGAUGAUAUCAUUUCGUGUUAGAGAAUGGCGGAAAAUACCAAUAUUAACCAGUUUAAUUCUUGUCGAGGUCUCUAUUAUAUGCACAUUGAAAAAAUUGUCUGGCCUAGAAAAAGUUGUCGAAACUUUGGGGUAACAUUAAUCCUCAGGAUAUUUUUAGCAAAUUGCUCUUUUAAAUACUAGGUUAGGUUAGUUUGCUGUGUACGUAAUAUUUAUGAUUGCGAACCCUUGAAAAGUUUAAUUUGAAGUUCAGCGAAAAAUAAAAAAUUGUAAGACACUUGAUAUAUUGGGCCAAUUGUUGACAUGGUACACGCAUUUACGGGUUAUUUAUAUAGGGAUAGUGCUUUCACUUGAGAUUAGAGUGUCACAAAUAUGAUUUUUGGUAUGUGUAAUAUUUGGGUCAUUCUGUGGUUAACUUUUUCACAGUCAAAGUUUCCAGAUAUGAUGUCAUUAGAUGGAAUUUUGUGUAGUGUGCAAAAAGAGGAAUCUAAUUUACAAUUCAUCUUAUGACGUCAUAUCCGGAAAUUUGACAGCGAAAAAAAAGUUGUUCAAGAUGAGGUUUUUUGCUAUAAAUAUCUAUUACAUUUCUUCUCCGGAUGACUCAUCAUCUAUCACACAUUACAAAACAUCAUAUCAUUGGGGUUAGUCGCAAAUAGUUUUAUAUACAGAGAAGUGUUGACUAUUAUGCGUAUAUUAUGAGAACAUUAUGCGAGAUUUUACCUGACAAUUAGGGGACCGGUCAUUACUUAUGGCAGGGGGUGACGCCAAAGAGAAAAUGGUUGGGUAAACAAAAUUUUGAGUGAGUAAAAGGUUGGGUAAAUGAAACACAAAACAACUCAAGGGUUGGGUAAUAAAAAUUUAUUGUCAUUUCCAAAGCAUGACUCACUUCAGAUAUUGAAGACUAAAAAGCAAUGUCAACAGUCAUAUGUCAGUACAAUAUGUAAAUCAAUCAGAGUCAUUAUCUUGAUCAUUCUCCGAUUGGUCCACAGGCGGCCCAGACGUGUAUUAGUGUAUAGUAAAUAUAUCAUUAUAGAAUAUACUACACAGUAAAAUUUGUAAUGAAUUUUAUAUUUUAAAAUCAUAUUUACUUGCCUACUUUGAUUGUAUGUGAUCGUCUUUUAUUUCUGAGCGACUUUACAUUCGAUGCCUGCGACUGUCUUCAUAGGUGAUAGUAUUGAAAGCAAAGGCUAACGAUUCCAGUUCUCAAACAGCCGACACGAACAAUUCAAAUCGAAAAAUAUCCCCUUCAAAUUGCUUUCUUCGCGGUAAAACUUUGCCAGCGUAUAGAAUAAACACCCAUCUUCGAACAUACAAUGCAAUAUUAACACGUCCUAUAAUUUUUGCAAUGGAUUUUUAGCGAAAUGUUUCGAGACUAAAAUUCUAUGGAACUUAGAAAGCCCGAUAAUUACUACGGCGCCUGCUUGGCCACCUAGCCUCCUUUACCGUUUGGAUUUUCAGGGGGGGUUGAAUAAAAAACACCUAUUUCCGGCAACAGCCAGCCAGUCAACGUCGCGAUACCGACUGUUUACAAUAUUUGAAAUCUGAUAUUGUAAUUUAUCAACAACAAAACUUUUUCGAUCGAUCGAUCGUAUAGUAUAAGAUAGAAAGACAGCUUUUGCAAAUUUACAAUAUCAGAUUUCAAAUAUUGUAAACAGUCGGUAUCGCGGCGUUGACUGGCUGGCUGUUGCCGGAAAUAGGUGUUUUUUAUUUGACCCCCCCCUGAAAAUCCAAACGGUAAAGGAGGCUAGGUGGCCAAGCAGGCGCCGUAGUAAUUAUCGGGCUUUCUAAGUUCCAUAGAAUUUUAGUCUCGAAACAUUUCGCUAAAAAUCCAUUGCAAAAAUUAUAGGACGUGUUAAUAUUGCAUUGUAUGUUCGAAGAUGGGUGUUUAUUCUAUACGCUGGCAAAGUUUUACCGCGAAGAAAGCAAUUUGAAGGGGAUAUUUUUCGAUUUGAAUUGUUCGUGUCGGCUGUUUGAGAACUGGAAUCGUUAGCCUUUGCUUUCAAUACUAUCACCUAUGAAGACAGUCGCAGGCAUCGAAUGUAAAGUCGCUCAGAAAUCGAUCACAUACAAUCAAAGUAGGCAAGUAAAUAUGAUUUUAAAAUAUAAAAUUCAUUACAAAUUUUACUGUGUAGUAUAUUCUAUAAUGAUAUAUUUACUAUACACUAAUACACGUCUGGGCCGCCUGUGAUUGGUCAAGAGGCAAAUGGUGUCUCCAAAGAAAGUACAUGUGCAGACGACAUGAAACAUUAGAUUGCAGAAAAUGACACAAGCAGUUAUCAAACUUAUGUCACACUGAAAUGGUAAAGGACAUGUGUGACAACUGAACGGUAGCCUUUUGUAACGUUUUUGGCCAGGGGUAUUUCAUUUUUUAAAUUAUAUUUGUAGUUGGUAAAAAAAAUUUGAUUUUAAUGGUUGGAUCAACAGAAUUUUUACCAAGAAACACAUUUCUCUAAUUCGGUGCCAUCCUCCGCUAUAAAUCAGUAAUGAACUGUCCCUUAAUACUGGAUGAAUAAUGAAUGCGGAAACAGCGAUAGAUAUAGAAUACCCGUCCAUUUUGACAUCUAACACUUAUUAAUACCUUAAUAGCAUUUUUUUGCAAUUUCGUGAUAUUUUGUCAUUUCGUGAGUUUGAGUGAGUGAAAUUUAUACUGUAACUAUGACGGGGUAAUUUUAAGAGCAUCUCUCGAGUUCUGAUAUUGAUAUAGUAUAAUUAAACUAUUAUACCAGGAUGUGUUCAAAACGUGAUGAACUCGCGAUAUUCGUCAGUUGCAUGCAAAUAUUGUUAGCAGGUUUUCGCCAUGUUGUCCAAUGACACCGUGGGUGCAUAGCAACCCAUUUUCGUGUACGUGGUUAAAAAAAACAUGGCGCUUGAUAUCAGUUGUCAGAUGCUCAUAAUUUGCUGUUGUUUCGACAAAAAGUAUCGAAACUUAUGCAACAGAUAUAGUUAACAGCAAGUGACAUUACGUUUUGGGGUAUUCAACAAAUAUCACAGCUUGCAAGUUGGUGUUGGAUGGCCGCCUAUAGCUAGAUUUUAUAGCAUAUAUAUAGGCCUAUACCUUGACUGCGUUAUACGAACUCUCAUCCAUUCUCUUCAUUUUUAUACUUGACAGUAAGUCUACAUAUUAUAUAUUGUUGAUCAGUCUAUUUGGGUAUUCGGGAUCCUUCGCUUUCCCAAAAAAAAACAUAAUUUCAGAUAUCUAUAUCUCAAAUCUUCAAUGUAUAGGUCGUAUUCUACAAUAAGUUGCCAUGGUUUGUGUUUAAACUACCUGAAGAAAUAUCUCAAACGUUAGUAUACCUAUAAUAUCUCAAACGUUAGGUAGUAUUCCACAGUAAGUUCCCGUGGUUUGUGUCUGAACUACCUGAAAAAAAAUAUCUCAAACGUGAUGGUCCAGUUUAGGUAGUAUUCUAUACACUAAGCUGUCGUGGUUUGUGUCUAAACUGUCUGAAAAAGAUAUCUGUAACGUGAUGGUCUAGUGUUCGUAUUCUAAUAUAAGCUGCCGUAGUUUGUGUCUGAACUAUCUGAAAAAGAGAUCUCAAACGUGGUGGUCCAGUGUAGGUAGUAUUCUACAAUAAGCUGCCAUGGUUUGUGUCUCCAACUACUUGAAAAAAUAUAUCAAACAUGAGGUCCAUGCAGUGUAGGUGGUCUGUGUCUAAAGGAAGAGAUUAUUUCGCUGGCCUCAGAGUGACAAAACGUAACAAAGCAACGGUUUUACUAGCACUAACCCUACUCCAAACACCAAUUCUAACCCUAAUCCUUACCCUUACCCUAACCUAACCUUACUCCAAAUUUGUUUUUAAACCAAUCUUGAAGAAAAAAGUUUUGACGAAAUGUCAUUCUGAGGUCAGCGAAAUAGUUGAUGCCGUGUCUAAACUAUCUGGAAAAGAUAUAUGUAACGUGGUGGUCCAGUGUAGGUCGUAUUCUAAAAAAAAAACAGGCGUAGUUUGAGUGUGAACUUUCUGAAAAAGAUAUCUCAAACGUGGUGGUUCAAUGUAGGUAGUGUUUUACAAUAAACUGACGUAGUUUGUUACUGAACUAUACUUCAGGAAUAUUCGACGUUUCAAUUGGAGACGUCUCUUCGGCAGGAAGCCACCAUAUAGUCUCUUUCAGUGUAGUUUAGACACAAAAACCGCGACGGAAACGUAUACACUACGAGCAAAACAAUUUUGAGCUUCGUCAGCAAAUUCGAUACCGCGUAAAAGGGUGUGGUCGACACCAAGUUCAUUUACCGUCGAUACGUGUUCGAUGAAAAAUCUAGAAAACAAUGAUGGGAAAAUCAUGCCCUAAUUGACUUCUUCGAUAUUUUCUAUAAUAACAACAAGCUAUAUGAAAUUUUCCGCAGCUUUUUAUGUCUCAAGACAUCAUAUGGAAGUUGUUGGUCUAAUUGUGUUUUCACAGCGGGCUCGCUGAGUCCUGCAAAGCUUCGCUGUUAUCCGCGCGGAAGGUACUUGUAUCGCCGUUUCUAUACAAACGAUCUGACCGGCUAUUGUUGGAAGCGAUCCAAGCCCAAUUUAGAAAGCCUUGUUCGGCCGUGGGAUAGAACUAUUAUAGACCUUUGCACGCUGCUUUGCACGAUCUAUUUAAGUUUCUAGAUAGAUAGAUAGAUUGUUUGUUUAAUAAGAUUAACACAUAGCAGCCAAGAGGCUGAAUUGCGUGCUAAAUUUUACAAGAGAAAUGAUUAAAUUAGUUAUUCUAUAUUUACAUAUAGAAUAUAUUUACAUAUAGAAUAUAUUUAUAUAUCUAUAUUUCUGUGAUCACAGUAGGAAUUUUGCAUGGGGAAAUUCUACGUUUUGAAGGAUUUGUAAGAAAUAUUUGAGGAAACUGACUUAUGUUAAACACUAAGUCUGUUUCCUCAAACAUUUCUUACAAAUCCUUCAAAACUUAGAAUUUUACCUAUGCAAAAUUCCUACUGUGUUCACAGAAACUUUGAUAGUGUAAACCAUCCUAUAUAAGACCGGUUUCAAUAUUCGUUUACGUUCAUACACAUCUGAUUAAGUCCUAGGACUGGAUCAAAUUACGCGGACUUGAAAUCUAGUCCAGUCUUCAUAGUCUGAUUUGAAAUAUUACAUCUCAAACUCAUUAACAAUUCAUGAGUAAAUUAGCCAACCAUAUUGCUUUAUUUUGCUCACAUUAUAAUACUGAAUCCUUGGACUGGUCAAAAUUAAUUCACCCCACUUUAAGUAGUGAUUUAAUGAGUUUGAGAUGCUCUCGUCUGUGUUGUUGAAAUCGAAUAGAAUUUUUAAACGCGAACGAGGACAAGAUGUAUAUGUAAAAGAAUAUUUAAAUCUGUUUCUAUUUAUAAGAUUGGUUUAUGAACAAACAGCCUGGUAAAAACAUUUUCAAAUUGACUAAUUCUGAUUAACUAUAAAUUAUCUUUCGCGUUAAAUAUGCUAAUUUUUUUUAAGAAGAACGACGUUCCAGAAAUCCGAAAAUACGAGUUCGACACCGCUCGAGACAGCCAAUUUUUCGUUGUACUCGGCAGUGUCAGAAUGAUAUGAAACUAAUUUUUUAUAUCUCCCAGGAUGGUUCUGAAAUAUAAUAAUAUUUAAUAUUAAGAUAUAUAAGUUACCACAAAUUAUAAUAGCGUUACAAACUGAGUUACUGUUUAGAUAUAGGUUAUAGAAUAGUCUAUAUAGAGAAAGUAUAGAGAAAUAAAAAUAGAAUCAUGUCAAAACAGCCAGACCCAAAACCAUCCCAUGCAAAUUCUGCGUCCACCGCCAGGCUGACCAUGGACUAAUUAGGCUGACGGUGCAAUUUUGGGACGAAAUGAAGUCAUUUUUAUUUACUCAUAUUUUGGCGGUAGGAAAAUUAUCUCGGAUACAUUAUUACAUUACAGAUAAUUUUCCCACCUCCGAUAUACGAGUAAAUAAAAAUGACUUCAUUUCGUCCCAACAAUUGCACUGUCAGGCUCAUUAGUGCAUGGUCAGGCUGGCGAUUGUUCCGCCAAAAUUUGCGUAGGAGGCGUGAGUCUGUUGGUUUGUUUUUUUGACAGUAUUAUUAGAUUUUUAUUUUUUUCCGACUUUCUUUAUAUAGAUUCUAACCUAAUUUAGAAAUAAGUUAAUUAGUUCAUUUGAAAAUGUUUUUACCAGGCUGGCUUGUUGAUAAACCAAUUUUAUAAUGGAGACAGAAUUAAAUAUUCUUUUACAUAUACAUCUUAUCCUUGUUCACAUUUAUAAAAAUUCUAUUCGAUUUCAGCCACAGAAUCAGAGACGAGAGCAUGAAAGUUUAUUGUGAUGAACAUGAACGAAUAUUGGAAGCAGUCUCUAUUGUAUAUUGCGCUUUCUAUCAUUAAGCUAUCGAGUCAACGGGAAUUGAUCUAGACAUGAAGAAAUAUAGCCCCGUGAAGUUCGCAAAUUUUUUAUAUAUUUGCAUUACAAAAUUUGCGAACUUCGCAGGGCUAUAUUUUCUUCAUUUUACAACAUUUCGCAACCAAUCUUUGCAGUUUUACUCAUUCUAAGACGCUCUUUCUAGCUGUGGUGUUGGAUUUCGUUCUUCUUGCCUUGAUCAAAAUUUAGUCUAUGACUGGAAUCACCCAUUUAAGUGCACGAAAUGCUAAUUGUCUUGGUGGACGCGCAGAGUUUCAAUUCUAUUUCCGAAACAUCCUCAAAAAUUUUUCCAAACUCUUGAACGGGAUUCGAAUCCCUUGUCAGAAUAAUAUAUAUAGCCCGAUAGGUUUGCUACAGAACCUGGUUAAUAACAGUGCUUUAUGCUGUGACGAGUUUAUUCUGUAAUAAUAUUCGAAUGAUAAUAACCCCCUUACCCUAACUGCUGACUCUAACCCGUAAACAACUGAUGAGACUUUGCCCCGUUGGAGACUGUUUGCAUAAUUAGCAUAAUUAGGAUGUAUCGAGAUCACGUAUAACCUAAAACAAACACAUCGUAGACUGUGGUUUUUAUUUCACAUGCAGGUUUGGGAAACUGUGAUCUACGUAAACUGAGACACGCCUUGGCCAGGCUGUCUUUAUAAGCUGCUGCGAAUCGUAGAAAGGUAUCAGUCUUUGAGGAGACCGCGUAGAAGUGGUUACAAUAAAGAUAGGACGCAAUUGAGGAGAACUGAGAAUUUGGAGAAAGAUUUUACACAAAAAAG